rnacentral:lncRNA from 1 species
CCUGAGCCUCCGGAAUUUCGAUUCUCCGGUGCGUGUCCCGCCUAGCAGCUCCGCUCAGCACUUCCAGCCUAGAACACAUUGCAGCUCCAGGAGCUAGGACUAAAGCAGUCGCCAGCCCUGCCUGCACAGAGACCCCAGGGGUGCCCCGGCCUUCGCUGUACGGAGGGAUCCAUGCCAAGAUGGCCGCGCCCACAAGCAAUCUCCACAGGGCUCCGCCAUCGAAGCCCGGGGACCCUCUGAAGCGGUGCCCGGGGUGGCCGCCAUGUCGGCCUCUGACUCCAACAAGGACCUGACAAAGCCAGAGGCGGUGGGCCGGAGGAGUACGGACAAAGCCAGGCGUCCGAAGGAGAUGGCUACACCCGAGCCUGCAGAGAGCGAUGCGGAAUGGGAGCAGCUGGAACCUGGGCAGAGAAACGUGUACAAGGAUACAAAGCUAGAGACCUGCAGCAAUCCAGCCUCGAUGGG